GAUUUUGUUACGGUCCUUUAUUGACAGAACGUUUCUUGACAAUGGAUUUUUAAGAAGUGCCAGUUACGAAAUUUUGCAAUUGUUGAGAAAUCAAGCACAAGAAUCCGUUUUUCCUAGGGCUAAGAUAGUGCCAGCAGCCGCGGUCAUACUACCCUAGGGAGUAAAUAAGAGAAGUGGAUUGAAGCUAUCUGAAAUAUAUCACAAUAGUAAAAUAUGUUCUAUACGGUAUCUAACAUUAGACCAAUAAUAUAAACAAAUACCAACUCCAAACAAGGAUUAGAUACCCUUCUAUGGUGUACGAAAAAAUAUUCACUGGGUAUUAAAGUUUAUUACCUAAACUCAAAUAACAUGGCGGUAAUUUUAAAGCUUAGGGGAACUUACCUAGUAAAUGAUAAUCACCAAGAUAUACUACUUUAAGUCAGAUUUUGUAUGCCGUCGUCUAGAUUAAAUACUAUAUUUAAUCUUUAGUUAUACCCAACCUAUGACAGAUCUAGGUGCAGACUAUCUUAAAGAUUUAAGGCGAGUUACAUUAAAGAUUUUUUUCUAUCUGGCAAAAUAAAUUAACCUAUUUAGUUGGACUUAAUAGUAAGGAUUAUAUUAUAAAUACUACCUGAACGAUAAUAAAAUUGUGC
rnacentral:rRNA from 1 species